UUGGAGGGCAAGUCUGGUGCCAGCAGCCGCGGUAAUUCCAGCUCCAAUAGCGUAUAUUAAAGUUGUUGCAGUUAAAAAGCUCGUAGUUGAAUUUCGGGAUCAAUAUGUUGGUCGUGCCUUGGUACGUACUAAUUUAUUGGUUUCUUCCUUCUGACGAACCUUGAUGUCAUUAAUUUGGUGUUUUGGGGAAUCAGGACUGUUACUUUGAAAAAAUUAGAGUGUUUAAAGCAGGCUCACGCUUGAAUACAUUAGCAUGGAAUAAUGAAAUAGGACGUUUGAUUCUAUUUUGUUGGUUUCUAGGAUCGACGUAAUGAUUAAUAGGGAUAGUUGGGGGCAUUAGUAUUCAAUUGUCAGAGGUGAAAUUCUUGGAUUUAUUGAAGACUAACUACUGCGAAAGCAUUUGCCAAAGAUGUUUUCAUUAAUCAAGAACGAAAGUUAGGGGAUCGAAGACGAUCAGAUACCGUCGUAGUCUUAACCAUAAACUAUGCCGACUAGGGAUCGGAUGAUGUUAAUUUUUUAAUGACUCAUUCGGCGCCUUACGGGAAAC
rnacentral:rRNA from 1 species